rnacentral:lncRNA from 1 species
CAAAGUUAAAUUCCAUCCUUGUCACUUCCUAGCUUGGGGCUUUGUGCAAAUAACUUAAUAUCUUAAAGUCUCACAAAAAAAAAAAUCUAGAACUUAGAAUUCAGAGAGCACAUAGAACAUGUGGCUGCUAGCACAGAUGUGCCACAGCAUAAGCCUUCAAUAAAUAUGCAAGGAGGGACACUAUAGCAAUAGCAAAAAAAAAAAAAAAAAAAAAAAAAAAAAAAGAUGGAAGCCUCGGUUUUUGCCUGUAUAAUUCUUCUAGAUGCUGAAAGAAAUCAUGAAAGCAGCAUAGUAGGGGAGAGAAGCAUGGAGAGGAAAGCUGGUGCUUUGGGCCCUAAAGGAUGAGCAAAAUAUGGAUAAGAAGGUAAGAAAGGGAAGCUUUCCUAGAAGGCCAACAUGAUGAAAGCCUGAGUGCAUCACAGCCUUGGGACCGUGGGAGGGAGAGCUGAAGAGAGCAAAGGGAAUGUGUUGAGAAAAAGCAGAGAAUAAGCCUGAAUAGAUGGAGAAGGGCCAGCUCAGGAGAGACAAGACCAAAAUAAGACCCAGGUUUCCCCUGACUCCCCGGCUUUGGGGCUUGUCUUCUCUCUACGUGAACCCUUCAGGAUGCAUAAUUUGUUUAUUUGUAAGUCAAUGAACCCAGCCCAAGGAGUGGCACAGUGCAUACCUCACCCAAGAAAUUAAUUAAUGUCUGUAAAAUUCGAAUGCCAUUUAAAAUAAUGGUUAUGAGAAUGUUGCUGGCGAUCCUGCAAAUGCCUUGGCCUAACCCUGGAUGUGGUGACAGAGGCAGGACCCUCCCACUCUUCUCCCUGACCUUGUGUCACUCUGCUUGUUCCUUAAACGUCUGCUGACAUCAUGGGGAGGCAGUUGUGAAACAGUCCCAGUGAAUCCGCAUUUGCACAAGUCCUUGAAAUCUUUGUUUGUCUACAAAAUGGCUGGGUUAAAAAAAAAAAGAAAAGAAGAGAAAAGUAGACUCAAGAUCUUGACAUGGCGAGUUGUGAUCAUUUCAGAAGAGGAAGAUGAGGUUGGGCUCAUACUUCAGAAACAUCAGCAGCUGCAGCAUGGAGAAGACCUUCCUGGGGGUAAGAUGGCAGACUGGCUCUGGGGGAGGUCUCUGUGCUUUGGAGCUUUACUCGCUCAGAUCA